rnacentral:rRNA from 1 species
AUUGAACGCUGGCGGCAGGCCUAACACAUGCAAGUCGAGCGGAUGAAGGGAGCUUGCUCCUGGAUUCAGCGGCGGACGGGUGAGUAAUGCCCAGGAAUCUGCCUGGUAGUGGGGGAUAACGUCCGGAAACGGGCGCUAAUACCGCAUACGUCCUGAGGGAGAAAGUGGGGGAUCUUCGGACCUCACGCUAUCAGAUGAGCCUAGGUCGGAUUAGCUAGUUGGUGGGGUAAAGGCCUACCAAGGCGACGAUCCGUAACUGGUCUGAGAGGAUGAUCAGUCACACUGGAACUGAGACACGGUCCAGACUCCUACGGGAGGCAGCAGUGGGGAAUAUUGGACAAUGGGCGAAAGCCUGAUCCAGCCAUGCCGCGUGUGUGAAGAAGGUCUUCGGAUUGUAAAGCACUUUAAGUUGGGAGGAAGGGCAGUAAGUUAAUACCUUGCUGUAUUGACGUUACCAACAGAAUAAGCACCGGCUAACUUCGUG